GGNNGNUAGUCCGUACGAGCGCACCCCUAUCCUUAUUUGCCAGCGCAUAAUGGCGGGAACUAUAAGGAGACUGCCGGUCAUAAACCGGAGGAAGGCGGGGACGAUGUCAAGUCAUCAUGGCCCUUAUGGGUAGGGCUACACACGUGCUACAAUGGGUGGUACAGAGGGUUGCCAAAGCGUGAGCUGGAGCCAAACCCUUAAAACCAUUCUUAGUCCGGAUUGGAGUCUGCAACUCGACUCCAUGAAGUCGGAAUCGCUAGUAAUCGCGAAUCAGAAUGUCGCGGUGAAUACGUUCUCGGGCCUUGUACACACCGCCCGUCACGUCAUGGAAGUGGGUUGCACCAGAAGUGGUUUGUUUAACCUUCGGGAGAACGGUCACCACGGUGUGAUUCACAACUGGGACGAAGUCGUAACAAGGUAGCCCUAGGGGNNGGGGGGGCUGGAUCACCUCCUU
rnacentral:rRNA from 1 species